GGGACAUCCACAUAUUUCAGUCACAGUAAGGUGGGACGACCACAUACUGUAUCUCAGUCACAGUAAGGUGAGACAACCACAUAUUUCAGUCACAGUAAGGUGAGACAACCACAUAAUGUAUCUCAGUCACAUUAAGGUGAGACAACCACAUACUGUAUUUCAGUCACAGUAAGGUCGGACGACCACAUACUGUAUCUCAGUCACAGUAAGGUGAGACAACCACAUAUUUCAGUCACAGUAAGGUGAGACGACCACAUACUGUAUCUCAGUCACAGUAAGGUGAGAUUAAUACAUAUCUCAGUCACAGUAAGGUAGGACAACCACAUAUUUCAGUCACAGUAAGGUGGGACGACCACAUAUUUCAGUCACAGUAAGGUGGGACAAACACAUAUUUCAGUCACAGUAAGGUGGGACGACCACAUAUUUCAGUCACAGUAAGGUGGGACAUCCACAUAUUUCAGUCACAGUAAGAUGGGACAACCACAUAUUUCAGUCACAGUAAGGUGGGACGACCACAUAUUUCAGUCACAGUAAGGUGGGACAUCCACAUAUUUCAGUCACAGUAAGGUGGGACAUACACAUAUUUCAGUCACAGUAAGGUGGGACAUCCACAUAUUUCAGUCACAGUAAGGUGGCACGACCACAUACUGUAUUUCAGUCACAGUAAGGUGAGACAACCACAUAUUUCAGUCACAGUAAGGUGAGACAACCACAUAAUGUAUCUCAGUCACAUUAAGGUGAGACAACCACAUACUGUAUUUCAGUCACAGUAAGGUCGGACGACCACAUACUGUAUCUCAGUCACAGUAAGGUGAGAUUAAUACCUAUCUCAGUCACAGUAAGGUGGGACAUCCACAUAUUCCAGUCAUAGUAAGGUGGGACGACCACAUACUGUAU
rnacentral:lncRNA from 1 species